UACGGAGGGGACUAGCGUUGUUCGGAAUUACUGGGCGUAAAGCGCACGUAGGCGGAUUUGUUAGUCAGGGGUGAAAUCCCGAGGCUCAACCUCGGAACUGCCUUUGAUACUGCAAAUCUCGAGUCCGGAAGAGGUGAGUGGAAUUCCUAGUGUAGAGGUGAAAUUCGUAGAUAUUAGGAAGAACACCAGUGGCGAAGGCGGCUCACUGGUCCGGUACUGACGCCGAGACGCGAAAGCGUGGGGAGCGAACAGG
rnacentral:rRNA from 1 species